GGAGCAGCUUGCUGUCUGCACUACCAACCCUACCACCAACUGCUAGUUAAUAUGGUCCAGAGACCGUAUUCACAAAGCAUCUCAGAGUUGAGAGUGCUGAUCUAGGAUCUGUUUUGCCUUUUAGACCUAUAUCAUAAUGCUUUUAUGGACAAGGGGACCUGCUCCUAGAUCGACACCUACUCUGAGGAGCCUGUAUACAUCAGGAACAGGCUAACCUACUACCCCUUCUUAAUGUUAAACUCCCCUGCCUGCCUGCCAGUCCUAAUGUUAACCUCCCCUGCUUGCAUGCCUCCUCCUGCCAGUCCUACAGAUAGAAGGUACCCAGUCUCCCCCUGCUAGUCCUAUGGAUAGAAGGUACCCAGUCUCCCCCUGCCAGUCCUAUAGAUAGAAGGUACCCAGUCUCCCCCUGCCAGUCCUAUGGAUAGAAGGUACCCAGCCUCCCCCUGCCAGUCCUAUAGAUAGAAGGUACCCAGCCUCCCCCUGCCAGUCCUAUGGAUAGAAGGUACCCAGUCUCCCCCUGCUAGUCCUAUAGAUAGAAGGUACCCAGUCUCCCCCUGCCAGUCCUAUAGAUAGAAGGUACCCAGCCUCCCCCUGCCAGUCGUAUGGAUAGAAGGUACCCAGUCUCCCCCUGCCAGUCCUAUAGAUAGAAGGUACCCAGCCUCCCCCUGCCAGUCCUAUAGAUAGAAGGUACCCAGUCUCCCCCUGCUAGUCCUAUGGAUAGAAGGUACCCAGCCUCCCCCUGCCAGUCCUAUAGAUAGAAGGUACCCAGCCUCCCCCUGCCAGUCCUAUAGAUAGAAGGUACCCAGCCUCCCCCUGCCAGUCCUAUAGAUAGAAGGUACCCAGCCUCCCCCUGCCAGUCCUAUAGAUAGAAGGUACCCAGCCUCCCCCUGCCAGUCCUGUAGAUAGAAGGUACCCAGCCUCCCCCUGCCAGUCCUAUAGAUAUAAGGUACCCAGCCUCCCCCUGCCAGUCCUAUAGAUAGAAGGUACCCAGCCUCCCCCUGCCAGUCCUGUAGAUAGAAGGUACCCAGCCUCCCCCUGCCAGUCCUGUAGAUAGAAGGUACCCAGCCUCCCCCUGCCAGUCCUAUAGAUAGAAGGUACCCAGCCUCCCCCUGCCAGUCCUGUAGAUAGAAGGUACCCAGCCAAAACGCCUCUACAAACAGCAAUACAAUCUGCUUUCUACAACCUUCAUUGUAUUGUUGGCUAUAACUCACAUUGUACAUAGAAGAUGGUUUCACAGAAGUCUGUUUGUGCUAGACUGACUGGGGGGGAUAGAGUUGAACUCAAGAAGGAUGAUGUCUCAGCUGACACUACUGUUACAUGUCUAUCUAUCUAACCACUAUAUCAACACUACUGCUACAUGUCUAUCUAUCUAACCACUAUAUCAACACUACUGCUACAUGUCUAUCUAUCGAACCACUA